rnacentral:rRNA from 1 species
UCACACCGGUUUAAACUCAGAUCAUGUAAAAUUUUAAAGGUCGAACAGACCUCCCUUAUUAGCUUCUGCACCAAUAAUUAAUUUUAGUCCAACAUCGAGGUCGCAAACUUCUCUUUCAAUAAGAACUCUUAGAAAAAUUACGCUGUUAUCCCUGAGGUAGUUUUAUCUUUAAAUCUUUACAAAAAGGAUCAAAAACUUACAAACUAAUAUUCCGAUAAAAGAAAAGUUAACUUAAUUUUCCCAUCACCCCAACAAAAUACAUAUUGUAAAAUCAAAAUGUUAAAUUACCUAAUAUUUCACUUAAAUUACAUAAAUAUAUUAAACUCUACAGGGUCUUCUCGUCUUCCAUGAAAAUUUAAGCUUUCUCACUUAAAAAUAAAAUUCUAAUACAUUCUUAUAGAGACAGUCAUUUUUUCAUCAAACCCUUCAUUCAAGCUUUCGAUUAAAAAACUAGAGAUUAUGCUACCUUUGCACGGUCAAUAUACCGCGGCCAUUUAACCACUCAGUGGGCAGGUUAGACCUGAAAUUAUAAACAAC